ensembl:snoRNA
CGGUCUAUCCUAAUCCCUGCUGGUCCCCCUGCCUGCGGCCCGCCAGGUUUCACUUGGGAACCAGGGCACCUUAGGAGCCUCUCCCGGCGUAGUGAGCACAGCUUCAGUGGGCUCAUGCCAGGGGCAUCUAGACACUC